AUUGAACGCUGGCGGCAGGCCUAACACAUGCAAGUCGAGCGGAUGAAGGGAGCUUGCUCCUGGAUUCAGCGGCGGACGGGUGAGUAAUGCCUAGGAAUCUGCCUGGUAGUGGGGGGUAACGUCCGGAAACGGGCGCUAAUACCGCAUACGUCCUGAGGGAGAAAGUGGGGGAUCUUCGGACCUCACGCUAUCAGAUGAGCCUAGGUCGGAGUAGCUAGUUGGUGGGGUAAAGGCCUACCAAGGCGACGAUCCGUAACUGGUCUGAGAGGAUGAUCAGUCACACUGGAGCUUAGACACGGACCAGACUCCUACGAGAGGAAGCAGUGGGGAAUAUUAGACAAGGGGCGAAAGCCUAGUGCAGCCAUGCAGCGUGUGUGACGACGAUCUUCGGAUUGUAAAGCACUUUAAGUUGGGAGGAAGGGCAGUAAGUUGAUACCUUGCUGUGUUGACGUUACCAACAGAAUAAGCACCGGCUAACUUCGUG
rnacentral:rRNA from 1 species